AACGCUGGCGGCGUGCCUAAUACAUGCAAGUCGAGCGAACGGACGAGAGUGCUUGCACUCUCUGAUGUUAGCGGCGGACGGGUGAGUAACACGUGGGUAACCUACCUAUAAGACUGGGAUAACUUCGGGAAACCGGAGCUAAUACCGGAUAAUAUUUAGCUUCGCAUGAAGCAAUAGUGAAAGACGGUUCUGCUGUCACUUAUAGAUGGACCCGCGGUGUAUUAGCUAGUUGGUGAGGUAACGGCUCACCAAGGCAACGAUACAUAGCCGACCUGAGAGGGUGAUCGGCCACACUGGGACUGAGACACGGCCCAGACUCCUACGGGAGGCAGCAGUAGGGAAUCUUCCGCAAUGGACGAAAGUCUGACGGAGCAACGCCGCGUGAGUGAAGAAGGUUUUCGGAUCGUAAAACUCUGUUGUAAGGGAAGAACAAGUACGUUAGUAACUGAACGUACCUUGACGGUACCUUACCAGAAAGCCACGGCUAACUACGUGCCAGCAGCCGCGGUAAUACGUAGGUGGCAAGCGUUAUCCGGAAUUAUUGGGCGUAAAGCGCGCGUAGGCGGUCUCUUAAGUCUGAUGUGAAAGCCCCCGGCUCAACCGGGGAGGGUCAUUGGAAACUGGGAGACUUGAGUGCAGAAGAGGAGAGUGGAAUUCCAUGUGUAGCGGUGAAAUGCGCAGAGAUAUGGAGGAACACCAGUGGCGAAGGCGGCUCUCUGGUCUGUAACUGACGCUGAGGUGCGAAAGCGUGGGGAUCAAACAGGAUUAGAUACCCUGGUAGUCCACGCCGUAAACGAUGAGUGCUAAGUGUUGGGGGGUUUCCGCCCCUCAGUGCUGCAGCUAACGCAUUAAGCACUCCGCCUGGGGAGUACGGUCGCAAGACUGAAACUCAAAUGAAUUGACGG
rnacentral:rRNA from 1 species